UACGUAGGGUGCGAGCGUUGUCCGGAAUUACUGGGCGUAAAGAGCUCGUAGGUGGUUUGUCGCGUUGUCCGUGAAAACUCACAGCUUAACUGUGGGCGUGCGGGCGAUACGGGCAGACUGGAGUACUGCAGGGGAGACUGGAAUUCCUGGUGUAGCGGUGGAAUGCGCAGAUAUCAGGAGGAACACCGGUGGCGAAGGCGGAUCUCUGGGCAGUAACUGACGCUGAGGAGCGAAAGCGUGGGGAGCGAACAGG
rnacentral:rRNA from 1 species